GCAAACAUGUACUUCUUCAUUUGGGAAGGGGGGAGCCCCAGAUGAUGCGUAUAUUCUGACCACUUGUAGGUCUCACAGAUUCUGACAGAUCAUCUAAGGCUUGAAUUACUGGGAAACAUACUUCUGUAUGUACCAAAGUCCUGCCGGAAAGCAGCCGACACACCCAAAUGGCCAGAACCCAAAAGUAAUGGUGAAGAAGGCGACAGGUGUUCUGGUGACCUGUAACACCACCAGGAGCCCUGAGACCCACCUCCUAUAAUCUAAUGUAGACCCUCAUCAGUGCAGGUCACUGCACUAGGGCAGCUGUCACUGCUCCAGAAAUACUGCUUACAGUAAAGGGAGGGAGGCCUCCUCUUCCCUGCUUGAGCACUUAAGUCCCUGCAGAUUUCUUAUCCUGCCCUGAACGUUCUGUUAAUCCAGUGUUCCAGUAUUCUCCAACUGUGGGGCAAGAGAAGACCACAGACAUUUGCAACUCUAUUGAACUGAGCCUCCAGUGCUCAAAGGCAAGUAGUGGACACAGAUUUCUCAGUCAUACCCAAGAAAACGGUCCAGGUUUGAGCCCCGGGGCAGGUGAGAGUGGGAGGAGGUGCAGGAUUGUGGACAGAGUUUAGAGUGUAGGGAAGGAAGUGUGUCCUCGAUAGGGCCAGAAGACACACGAGGAGCGCCAGAGCAGACACAGAAGUUACGGUGUCCUGAUGUGACGCCCAAGGCCCGGGGGGAGGGGGGUGACUACUGAGAAUCCUGAGCCCUGUAAGAGUGACCCAGGACAUGAGCAGUGUGGGUGAACAUCACUUCACUUCAGGCUUCAGUGUUGUCACCAUCUCCUGCAGAAGCACAUGCCCUCAUAGACUACCCUCUGACAAGGCUACUGUGACCUUCAAGCUCAUGUGAUGAUUGCCCUGUCUCCAUAUAGGAGGCCUGGCCUUACAAGGUGCUACUGUCACUAAGGUGACAGUAAGGACAAGAGUACUGCGACACUGGGAGGCUGCAUGCAAAAAUGAUGGGAGGCCCAGCUGUACCUGGAAGCUACAUGAUGUAACCCCUGAUCUGCUCUACAGAUCUUCAUUUUGUGCGGCUGUCUUCCUAGUGACAGCCACAUCACCUAUGACAACAAGUUCUCCCUGACUCUCCUUUAGCCUUGCUUCUCAGUCUUGAGAUGACGAGCCUAGGGGAGGGCCUCUACAGAUAAGUCAGCCUGACUUCAUUCUUACCCAAGAGGAGUUAGAAUGAAGAUUGGCUCUGAGAUGUGACCCCAGCUUCUAGACUGUCUUUGUGCAGUGGAGUGAUCUGGGCUUUGCUCAGUGGCCAUUCAAUAAGCAUAGAUGUGCAAGGCCGUCUCUAGGAGCUGGAUCCCAGGAUCAUUGGUGUGAUGGACAAGCUCUGCAGAAGGAGCCGGCACUCUGGGAGAGUCCAGGACAUUCAGGAAGACAAAGGGGGUGAGGCAAGUCCACAUCAAAACAGGUAAAAGCAGUAAUGAAGCUGGGAGCUUCCCUCCUAGUACAGGUUGUUGGGAAACACACUCCCUGAGAAGUCAGCUCUGCUGGGCUCAGCCAGGGCUGAAAGAAGACAUGAGACAGAGGGCCAUGAGAGCAGCCCUGUCACAGGCAGCCAUCAUGAAUGACUGAACCUGGGAAGGGCAUGUGAUAGUGUGAGUUUUAUGGACACCCUAAAGGAAAUUUAUAGUAAUUCAUCUCUUGGAGAAAUGGUGUUCUCCACUCAAAUCUCAGGCCCUGGGAGUGUUGGGUGUUGCAACAUACCAAAGGCCUGGAGGGUCCACUCCUCUUAUGAUGGUGAUGGGAAUGUCAGAAGAUGAGGAGGCCAUCUUGAUAGGAGGACAAUGUUAGAAUCCCAGAAACCAGAGGCCAUGUUCCUGCAUGGAGCUCCAGCAUUCUUCACAUAGGCAUGAUGAAGGUAAUGAGUGCAGAUACAAACUGUCACCAUGGGAUUCCUGGUUGUCCCUCAGCACUUUAGCCUGCUUUCUCUCCCACGCACCACUUAGUUUACUUGAGCACACCUUGUCACUGCCCAGGAUUUUUUCAUAACUUUGAAAAUAAGGCAGAGUGGUACAGGUAGGAGAUCCCUGAGUCCUCUGUGCUCUGUCCUUCUGUCACUGUGGUCUCUUCAGAUGCCCCCGACUAUGAUUCUGAAGUUAAUAAAGCACUUGAGGGUCAUGGGGCUUUCCUGACAGGAACCACACAAGCUGGAGCCAAAUCCAGAAGCUGUGCACCAAGUCCUUCCAUGUUUGUGGCUGCUGUGGACAGUCUGAACUGCAAGUCUGGCCCUGCUCUGUCACUGAAGGCACAACCUCUUGAACUCUCUCACUUUGAACUGUAGUAGUAGCUAGUGCCGCUGCUGAUCCAACAAUCUAGUUCAAUACGAGACAACAUAAGCUUUCCAACAUCCAACCUGGAACAUUCUGUCUCAGAGACGACAGUGUGUACACUUGAAAGGACAGACCAGGUGAGGAAGACGGAGAGGUCCUAUGUGGCUUUCUCACAGUGUGCUUGAUCUCAGCCCACUUCCCAAAAUUCCUUCAGUCCCAGCCCAAAUUAGGAGUAGUUCUAAGAAGAAUAGAGCCCUGAAGUGCUGAGAGGAACUGAGAGAUCCCUGGCUGCCAUGUUCCAUGUAGAGACUCUUCAGGAUCUUCUGUGAGGGCUCAUCCCUCUUCAUUCUUUGGACGUCAUGUGCUAUGAAUGCUUACCCUCUGACACUGUUCACUUUGCAGACCUGCCUGACACUUUAGGAAAGUUCUCCCACUCUGCCUGACUUCUGGGUCACACCUUCCAUUUAUAUAAAGUGUGCUUAGCGGGGUCAAAGAGGAACAUGAUUAACACAGUGCAUUGAGUAGCUAGCCUUCUGUAAUGCCUAGAGAAAGCACACGAUGGGCCCCUGGAAACAGUCAGCUCUGUUUCUCUCAGUGGCCUAGACUUGACGAUCAAGCAUCCAUCAGCUUAUUAGAAAGACACGUUUCUGGACUUCCACCUUCAGUUCCUAGGUCUUUUCUGAAUGGCGUUUAUCAAGUCUUGGCAUGAAUCUCUAGGAACAUGGGAAUAUCCUGCAAAGUUCUAUCCCCUAUGCACGGUCUCUGCUUUCCUUUCCUUCUGGGAACUUAACCCCCAUGACUCUCUUUGUGAAGUGCUCAUCCUUUGGUCUGCUCACAUAUCUUCUUUUCAGAGUCUCAGCGCAGUGUCGGGAUGUCAGGAAGCUGUGGGCUGGGUCAUGGCGAAGGUACUGAAGACUCUGUCCUUCUCAUCCCAUGAUACUGCAUCCUCUCACUUCUCCCUUGCAGAUUGUUGUGUUUUCCCACAAGGAUGCUGCUCACUAAUUUGCCCUCUGUGGAAUGGUGGCCCCAGGGAAGCAAGGACAGGAUCACCACAGGCUUGUCUCUCAAUAGGAUUGGUACUUCCUGGAAGGUCACUGGUGGAGGGAUGUUCAGGAUCUCUGACCGCCCCCUUCCUCGAUGAAAGGCUAGUGACUGCUCAGCCUUUCAUGUUAUUUUCCUUCUGCUAGCCUGUGCUUCUCUGCGUAGGUCCAAUUCAGUGCUACCAGGUAUGUAUGAGACCUGCAGACCUUACCCGAGUUUUUGCAGUUGGUAUGAUGGCUCUGAGAUCAUGUAACCUUGCCAAACAUUUUAAAUAUUAAUAUUUACUCACUUACUUAACCACUCACUGUCUCCUCUACCCUGUCUGUCUGUCUGUCUGUCUCUUCAGAUCACCCUUCGUAUGGCCCCACUUAAAGACAGAACAGUAAUUCACCAUGGACCUCAUCUUUUAGAGGCAGCCUCUUGACACAAACAGCUUGGCCCUGAUGAUGUCCCCAGCUUAGCAAUGGACUACAGCCAAGAAGCCUGGCCACAAUAAGGACGGAUCACAUCCUUAGGGAGGACAUCUAUGAAAAGCAUCUAUGCACAGGAGAAAAGUGCAAGGACCGAAGUCUCAUCAGGAGUUCCAGGACACAGAGAGCCUGACAGACUCAGGCCAGAGGUUACCUCCAGAGUCCUAGAAGAGGAAGAGGGUCCAACUCUACAGCAGCCUCUUGCUGGUGCUGUUGCAACCAGGACUAUGAUUGUGAGACUUGUGUCUCUGUGGAUACCAGGUUCAGGCGUCUUGUGCCCAUGCAUCUACGGACACCUCUCAUUCCUCAUUUGGUAUAACUUUGCAAGUCCUGAGAUUAAGGCUAUCAUGUACUGAUGGUGUCCCACUUGACACAUAGGCUACAGAUGACAUUAAAUCUGCAAUUCUCUACUUUGUGAUUAUUGAUCCUUUCCAAAUUGGUUUGACUGGGAACAAGGCUCAGAGUUCGAUAUUUCCAAG